AAUGAACGUUGGCGGCGUGGAUUAGGCAUGCAAGUCGCGCGACAAGGAACCUUCGGGUUCUGGAGGAGCGGCAAACGGGGUAGUAAGGCAUCGGAACGUACCCUCUUGUUGGGAAUAGCCGCGGGAAACUGCGAGUAAUGCCCAAUAAUCCCUACGGGGCAAAGGUCCGCCGCAGGAGGAGCGGCCGAUGUGAUACCAGCUAGUUGGUGAGGUAAUGGCUCACCAAGGCUUAGACGUCUAGGGGGUGUGAGAGCAUGGCCCCCACACUGGGACUGAGAUACUGCCCAGACACCUACGGGUGGCUGCAGUCGAGAAUCUUCGGCAAUGGGCGCAAGCCUGACCGAGCAACGCCGCGUGCGGGAUGAAGGGCCCUCGGUUGUAAGCUCUUUCGGUCCGGGAAGAAA
rnacentral:rRNA from 1 species